rnacentral:rRNA from 1 species
AUAUUGCGCAAUGGAGGGAACUCUGACGCAGCGACGCCUCGUGAGCGCUGAAGGCUUUCGGAUCGUAAAGCUCUGUCCUUGGGGAAUAAUGCUGCCAUUAUUGGCCACGUGACGGUACCCCAGGAGGAAGCCCCCGCCAACUAUCACCGAGCAGCCGCGGUAAUACGUAGGGGGCAAGCGUUGUCCGGAAUUAUUGGGCGUAAAGGGUGCGUAGGCGGCCUUUUAAGUCAGAUGUGAAAAAACACGGCUUAAACGUGGGGUUGCAUUUGAAACUGGAGGGCUUGAGUAUCGGAGAGGGUAGUGGGAUUCCCAGUAUAGCGGUGGAAUGCGUAGAUAUUGGGAGGAACACCAGUGGCGAAGGCGACUACCUGGACGAAAACUGACGCUGAGGCACGAAAGCUAGGGGAGCAAACA